rnacentral:rRNA from 1 species
UACGAGUGGUGCAAGCGUUAUUCGGAUUUACUGGGCGUAAAGGGUGUGUAGGCGGCAAAUCAAGUCUAUUGUUAAAGAUCUCGGCCUAACCGGGAAAGUGCGAUGGAAACUGAUUUUGAUAGAGAUUGGAAAGAGAGAAGUGGAAUUCUCGGAGUAGCGGUAAAAAUGCGUAGAUAUCGAGAGGAACACCGAUGGCGAAGGCAGCUUCUUGGUCCAC